GACAGAGGUCCCGAGCGUUAGGCGGAAUCACUGGGCUUAAAGCGUGUGUAGGCGGAUGCCUAAGUACCUUGUGAAAUCCCACGGCUCACCCGUGGAACUGCUUGGUAUACUGGGUGUCUUGAGCCACUUAGGGGCUACCGGAACAAAUGGUGGAGCGGUGAAAUGCGUAGAUAUCGAGAGGAACACCAGUGGCGAAGGCGAGUCUCUGGACGACUCCUGACACUGAGGCACGAAAGCUGGGGGAGCAAACAGG
rnacentral:rRNA from 1 species